ACGGUCGCUAAUACCCAAUAUGCCGAGAGGUGAAACUUAUAUGGCCAGAGGAUGAGCUCGCGUUUGAUUAGCUAGUUGGAGUGGUAACGGCACACCAAGGCGACGAUCAGUAGCUGGUUUGAGAGGAUGAUCAGCCACACUGGGACUGAGACACGGCCCAGACUCCUACGGGAGGCAGCAGUGGGGAAUUUUCCGCAAUGGGCGAAAGCCCGACGGAGCAAGAACGCGUGAGGGAGGAAGGCCUACUGGUUGUAAACCUCUUUUGAUAGGGAAGAAGAAAGUGACGGUACCUAUCGAAUCAGCAUCGGCUAACUCCGUGCCAGCAGCCGCGGUAAUACGGAGGAUGCAAGCGUUAUCCGGAAUUAUUGGGCGUAAAGCGUCCGUAGGUGGUUAUUCAAGUCAGCUGUCAAAGGAUGGAGCUUAACUCCAUAAAGGCAGUUGAAACUGUGUAGCUAGAGUGCGAUAGGGGCAAGGGGAAUUCCCA
rnacentral:rRNA from 1 species